rnacentral:lncRNA from 1 species
AUGUUGAAGGUAUUUCUCUAUCAGUACAGAGUGUUUUCUUUCCCUUUUGUUUUUAGUGAAAGUGUUGACCUUUUUCUUAGGGUUAGUUUUUCUUCUGUGUUUUUGAAUUCUUGUUCACAGGUUCAUCACAAGUUAAAAUUGCAUGUGUAUAUAUGGUACCUCUCACUCAAGUCUCCCACCCCAAUGAAGUUUGUUAAUUGCUGCAGAUGGGCUCUUCCUGAAGAUCCAGUCACUACAUCAUGGGCAGGUUGGCUCAGAUCUUAUCUAGGCUUUCACUGCUUCCUUCCGCUGCUAUGGAUGUUUAAUUUAUAUAAGCCUAUAAGCUCUUUCUUGACUCAGCCCCCUAGUUUCUUGAAUAGUAAACAAACAAGUAGUGUACCUCCUUUAUCCAACCUGCACACCAAUACAGCUUUGGUCUCCAUCCUGAAAGAAAACCUUCAGAGCAUCUGCCUGCUUGUAAACAGAUUUAGGUAGACUCAUGUAUUAAGUCCCUACUUAACACACUGUCUUUUAUUUUUUUAAGUCCAAAGAUGUUUCUAUUUUAUCAAAAGUAAAUGUACUUUUAUUCUGAGAGACAGUGCCCAACUGAAUUCCAGAGGAUAUCUCAAUUUUAUCCUCAAUAGUCAUGUAUGACAAAGCAUCAUGAGGAUGUUAUCUAACUGUUAGGUUUUUGCCUAAUAGGUGUUUUGGUUUGAAUUUCUCUUACUUUGAAUGAGGUUAUUAUUAACAGCUUCUCAGAUGCUCACAAGCUAUUUGCAUUUAAUUUUCUGUGAAUUAUCUAUUCACAUCUUUGCCCCCAAUUUUUUUUUUAUUAGAUUGCAGGGCUUUUAAAACUGAGUUUGCAGGACUUAUACAUAAGAACACCCUUUGUGAUAUGAACUGCGGAUAAGUUUUGUUAGUUCUUAAUCUGUAUUCUGUUGUAUUAUGACAGAUUUUGGCAUUCUGAGUGCUGUUUUAAAAAACUGUGGUAAACAAAACACAUAAAACAUCAACUAAGACACUUUUAAAUGCAUAGUGUAAUAGUGUUAACCAUAUGCACAUGUUGUGCAAUGGAUCUCUAGAACUUUUUCAUCAUGCAAA